rnacentral:rRNA from 1 species
UACGAAGGGGCUAGCGUUGUUCGGAAUUACUGGGCGUAAAGCGUGCGCAGGCGGCCUUUCAAGUCAGUGGUGAAAGCCCGGAGCUCAACUCCGGAACUGCCAUUGAAACUGUUUGGCUUGAGUACGAGAGAGGUGAGUGGAAUUCCCAGUGUAGAGGUGAAAUUCGUAGAUAGUUGGGAAGAACACCGGUGGCGAAGGCGGCUCACUGGCUCGUAACUGACGCUCAUGCACGACAGCGUGGGGAUCAAACAGG